GAAACGGUUCUUUUAAGAACCACCAAAUUUACAAAAGAAUGUAAAU
rnacentral:ncRNA from 1 species